AAAAGAGAGCUUUGCCCGAAUCCACUGUUGUCACGGAGCUAAAGGCAGUGAAUUCCGCUAAAAUGCUCAGGUUUUGGUAAAGAGUUGUAAACAUCGUGCAGCUGAGAUCCAUUCCACGGAGUGAUACCGAUGCACAUGUUCCAGACGUUCUUCCAGAGAUUCGUAGAUUCCCAGUCCAGGUGGCUGGGUGAGCCAACCGUAUUUGUGACUCUGACUUUAGACGGAUUGCCAGGAUCUUCUUCAUCUUUAUGGUGGUACAAAAGGACUAACACAGACACAUUCUUGGCUUACGGUAGCAGCAUGUUGCCUUGUUGCAAUACCACUGAGUUUUGCUCCCAUGCUUGGAUGGCACAACCACGAAACUUUGCCCAACUCAGUCAACUCUACUUUUGUCUGCCAGUUUAUAUCAGUGAUCCCAAUGUCAUAUCUGGUUUACUUCAACUUUUUUCUUUGUACCCUGACACCCCUGUUGGUGAUCACUGUUUUGUAUGGGUAUGUCUUCUGUACUAUACGAGGAAACCUUCAACAGAAACCAGGCAAUGGUGUCCAAAAACAGUCUCAGAACUACCUAAGAAAAGAGAAAUAGCUGGCAGCAUCUCUGUCUCUGGUCUUGGCUCUGUUUGCCCUGGCCUGGCUCUCUCUCCACAUAAUGUGUAAUAAACUGCAUUGUUUACUUUGGUGGACCGAAUGAUGUACCAGAAAUGGCUUUCUACGUUGGCCUCCUGCUUUCUCACGCUAACUCAGCUGUAAACCCAGUUGUGUAUGCUUUCAAAAUACAAAAGAUCAGGACAGCAUACCUGAAGAUCUGGAGACGGUAUAUUGUACAUGGAGAAGAACAUCAAGGAUCUCAGACAAGCCAGACGACAAACAACAAUCUCAGUAGUAACAUUAACAGUUGUCAAAAAUGAGUGAAAGAAGAUUUUCCUUGUUUUUGUGCUUCUUUGUUCUUAAUGGCUAUAUGACUUUACAGGCACUUUGUUUAAUACAAAGAUUGAUACAACAU